GGAUGCGAUCAUACCAGCACUACAGCACCAGAUCCCAUCAGAACUUCGAAGUUAAGCGUGCUUGGGCGAGAGUAGUACUAGGAUGGGUGACCUCCUCAGAAGUCCUCGUGUUGCAUUCC
rfam:Triticum aestivum genome assembly, contig: Triticum_aestivum_CS42_TGACv1_scaffold_393665_5AS